AAAUUGAAGAGUUUGAUCAUGGCUCAGAUUGAACGCUGGCGGCAGGCCUAACACAUGCAAGUCGAACGGUAACAGGAAGCAGCUUGCUGCUUCGCCGACGAGUGGCGGACGGGUGAGUAAUGUCUGGGAAACUGCCUGAUGGAGGGGGAUAACUACUGGAAACGGUGGCUAAUACCGCAUAACGUCGCAAGACCAAAGAGGGGGACCUUCGGGCCUCUUGCCAUCAGAUGUGCCCAGAU
rnacentral:rRNA from 1 species